AUAUUAUUUUUCAUAUUUGGCUGUUAUUAGAUUUCAGCAUAGAAUAUUGUCUUGCAUUGAGUUUAACUAUAUUAUUUACUAGUUUUGACAUUAAGACUUAUGAAGUCAUAUUUCUUUAUAUUCAGAUUCCAGUAUGUGAAGUAUAAGAGUAUACAGUAACUUUAUAGAGGAGCACUGCUCAGCCCUUGUAUUAUAUACACGGGUGUUUAUUUGAGAUUACUAUAAUAAACCAAUAGAACCUUA